GAUGAUUCUUGUGGCUGUUUCCUGGUGUCUACACGCACCUGCAUACACAUGCACAAGAGCAUGUCAAAUACGCACGCACUCACAUGUUUUUUAACGUGAUUGUUGCUACUGCCCAAGAGGACCCUAGAGCUGCAGGGUAAGACACUGUGCUGAGGCAGGAAGGGAGGGAUGGGCAGUAUCUUCUCCACCCCCUUCCUACUGCAUGACCAGUCCAGGCGAUGAGAGCUGGCAUAGCUUCAGCCAUUCAAAAACCAAAGGAGGUUGCUGCCUUCAGAUCCAGUCCAGCGGCUCUGGAAAUGGGUCACGCCAAGCCGGGCUGAUCCAUCUGCCGCCCUGACCCUCACGGGCUACAGCCUGGCAGCUCUGUGCACACAGUGCCCAACAUUCAACACGAGAUUACCAGACACGCCAGAGGACGGGGCUGAAGAACGGAACAUGGGAAAGACCCAAGAAGUCGUUGCAGGGAACAUCCAACUAUGCCCUGGAGUCGUCAGACGCUAGUUCUAGCACGACGGUGAUUAGUAAGCAGAAGAAGGUAUGGGAGGCUGGAGAAUUCCAGGAGACAAUGGGGACACAGAUAAUGCUAAUAUUAUAUAUGUAAAUAACGUAUAUGAAUAUGAAUAAUUCAUAUAUGAAUAAUACAUGUGAAAUGUUGGAGAAAA